UUCGAGGCACAUACGUUUCUUGAUUUGUCUUUUUUUUUGUGUUUUCUCUCGUGACUGUUGCUUCGUGCCUUUAGGCGGCUACUGGUGGACUCGCUAUGUAUGGAUGCGGGUGUGGUAUAUCAUACGUACAUUAGAACGAACGAACGAUCGAACGAACAAUGAAUGUACGAACAUGCUCAUGCUAAUACAGAUUGGCCAUGCUUGCGAAUAACGUUGAAUGCAUGCCGGACGUUCCGUGAGCUUCAAUCGAUCCACGCUAUGUAAUUAUUCGGUGUCGUUUAACUUUCAAGGUGGUAUACCUGUUAUUAUUAUUUCUAUUCCGUUCGCAUUUUUGUUUUCUUUUGUGUUAAGACGCAAGAAUUUGCGAUAGCAAAUUCGUGGGAUGUAUCGAGGAUCUACAAAGGCAAGUGUAUUUUAUCGAUCAUCAGAAUGUGCGGGCUUUCCGCAUGUUCUUCUUUCUACCGGGUUCUCGGAAUUCACGAGGUUCACAAUUGAUUCGUUUGUUUUGGACGAUGAGAUGCAGCAUGCAGACGGCGCGGCGAGCAUUCUUUUUCUCUUUUUGUCUUGAUCUUGCGGCGACGUAGCCGCACGAGCGAACACGUACGUAGAAAGAGAACUAUUUACCGUGCGCAUGCAAGGAAAAAUCGGACGCUUCGUUGCUCCCCAAGAUCGUGAGGAAGUACACGUAAAGCGGCCGCGACUUUAAACGAAGAGAGGGAUUCGAAGGAGAAAAGGAGGACGUCUCGAGGACGAGAGGAGGGAUAGGGAAGUCUAAAACGGAUAUUGAGUCGAGGCGGUUUCCGGCAGUUAGAGACAGUCACAGAAAAAAAUGGAGAAGUGCGCGCAUCGGGUGGCACAUCGGGAUCGAACGUCUGGAUGUGGACCAACCCGACGCUUUUCGAGAGAAAUGCGUACGAUGCACAAUAGAGGCUGUGGAGAAACGCGCGCUCGAUUGGCGCCUCCGUGAAAUAAGGAAGAAACCGGCGGUGGUCGCCAAUCCACUCGGUGGGACGCUAAGAUCUCGAGAUCGGAACCGAGAUCGAGCUGUAGACACCGAGUAGCUGCGAUUCGGACUCGCGACCAGGCAAUUAGGAUUUGGGAAAAGCAUCAACAUCCUUUUGUCUUUCGUGUUGUACAUGCAUCGGAGUACGAUCCUGAUGAUCAGUGAUGGAGGCUGACGCUCUGACACCGUAAAAGUACUUGACGAGGGUUUCGUCACCCUCAGCGCUCGCUAUAUGUAAUGCAGUUUGUCCAUCACCCUGGAAGAAUAUUCGCAUUCAAAGGACGUUUCUUUAAAGUCGCCCCGUAGUCCACCAAUAUUCGCACCAUAUCGAUGUCCCGUCUCCUAGCCGCCAGAUGAAGGGCUGAGUCACCUGUAGUGGUAGUGGCACGGAGCUGAUCCGGUGCCUGUUGAGCCAACAAUUCCCUGCACAUCGAUUGAUUUCCAGCUUCCACCGCCAAGAGCAAAGUAUCGGGAGACAUUAGACGGCUGGUCAGAUCGAUUUUCGCGAGGAAAGAAAAACGAAUCCGCUAUACGAUUUCCAUAAAUAGUCACAUUCGUAUGUAGACGUAAAUAUCGACGUUGGGGAGCAGUUUCUCUUAGAAUCGCAUAAUCUCGCUCGUUUACGAGACAAAGAACGAAGGAACAUUAAGAGGCUGGUAAGUGUGCGUGCGAGAAAGAAGGGGAAAUAGAUGGAAAUGUGCCGAAGGGUGGUAGAAGAAGAAAAAGUAGAAGAAACGAGCUAGAGGAGAAUUAUGACAGCUGUUCGGUACCAGGCCGCGAUAGUCCUGGGCCAUCAUUCGUGUCACGCGAGAAACGUGAACGAGAAUUGGGAGCGAUGCGCGAUAGAAAUCGCGCAAAAACUGUUAAUUCGAUCAAGGAACGCCUGACACAAAGCUGCCACGUUUGAUGCUUACAAGAGGUAGUUAAAUUACUUAAGCGGUAAAAGAAUCGGAUUCUAAUGAUUUCUUCGACGCAUACUACUUACCCC